GGGCGAAUGGUUUAGUGGUAUAAUACUCCCUUAGCAUGUUCUCUCUGAGACUGUCACUGGGAGUGGUCCAGGGUUCGAUUCCCUGUUCGUCCA
rnacentral:tRNA from 1 species